rnacentral:rRNA from 1 species
GAUGAACGCUGGCGGCGUGCCUAAUACAUGCAAGUCGAGCGAACGGACGAGAAGCUUGCUUCUCUGAUGUUAGCGGCGGACGGGUGAGUAACACGUGGAUAACCUACCUAUAAGACUGGGAGAACUUCGGGAAACCGGAGCUAAUACCGGAUAAUAUUUUGAACCGCAUGGUUCAAAAGUGAAAGACGGUCUUGCUGUCACUUAUAGAUGGAUCCGCGCUGCAUUAGCUAGUUGGUAUGGUAACGGCUUACCAAGGCAACGAUGCAUAGCCGACCUGAGAGGGUGAUCGGCCACACUGGAACUGAGACACGGUCCAGACUCCUACGGGAGGCAGCAGUAGGGAAUCUUCCGCAAUGGGCGAAAGCCUGACGGAGCAACGCCGCGUGAGUGAUGAAGGUCUUCGGAUCGUAAAACUCUGUUAUUAGGGAAGAACAUAUGUGUAAGUAACUGUGCACAUCUUGACGGUACCUAAUCAGAAAGCCACGGCUAACUACGUG